rnacentral:rRNA from 1 species
AUUGAACGCUGGCGGCAGGCCUAACACAUGCAAGUCGAGCGAGCGGCGGACGGGUGAGUAAUGUCUGGGAAACUGCCCGAUAGAGGGGGAUAACUACUGGAAACGGUAGCUAAUACCGCAUACCAUCGGAUGUUCCCAUAUGGGAUUAGCUAGUAGGUGGGGUAACGGCUCACCUAGGCGACGAUCCCUAGCUGGUCUGAGAGGAUGAUCAGCCAAACGGGAACUGGGACACGGUCCAGACUCCUACGGGAGGCAGCAGUGGGGAAUAUUGCACAAUGGGCGAAAGCCGGAUACAGCCAUGCCGCGUGUGUGAAGAAGGCCUUCGGGUUGUAAAGCACUUUCAGCGGGGAGGCGUUACCCGCAGAAGAAGCACCGGCUAACUCCGUGCCAGCAGCCGCGGUAAUUC